rnacentral:rRNA from 1 species
CCUACGGGUGGCUGCAGUGGGGAAUAUUGGACAAUGGGCGAAAGCCUGAUCCAGCAAUGCCGCGUGAGUGAUGAAGGCCUUCGGGUUGUAAAGCUCUUUUCCCAGGGAUGAUAAUGACAGUACCUGGAGAAUAAGCUCCUGCUAACUCCGUGCCCGCAGCCGCGGUAAUACGGAGGGGGCUAGCGUUGUUCGGAAUUACUGGGCGUAAAGCGCACGUAGGCGGUUUUUCAAGUCAGGGGUGAAAUCCCGGGGCUCAACUCCGGAAUUGCCCUUGAAACUUGAUGACUAGAAUCCUGGAGAGGUCAGUGGAAUUACGAGUGUAGAGGUGAAAUUCGUAGAGAUUCGGAAGAACACCAGUGGCGAAGGCGACUGACUGGACAAGUAUUGACGCUGAGGUGCGAAAGCGUGGGGAGCAAACAGGAUUAGAUACCCCAGUAGUC